rnacentral:misc_RNA from 1 species
AAAAUGCGAUAAGUAAUGUGAAUUGCAGAAUUCAGUGAAUCAUCGAAUCUUUGAACGCACAUUGCGCCCGCCAGUAUUCUGGCGGGCAUGCCUGUUCGAGCGUCAUUUCAACCAUCAAGCCCCGCGCUUGUGUUGGGGACCUGCGGCUGCCGCAGGCCCUGAAAACCAGUGGCGGGCUCGCUGUCACACCGGGCGUAGUAGAUUUUAUCUCGCUCAGGGCGUGCUGCGGGUUCCGGCCGUUAAAAAGCCUUUUUUACCCAAGGUUGACCUCGGAUCAGGUAGGAAGACCCGCUGAACUUAAGC